AAAAGGGACGAACAGAAAAUCAGUUUUUGUGCAAUUAAACAACAGAAAUGGCAAGAGCCAACUACAAAGUAUCAACCGUUCUUUUCAGCUUUGUUCAUGUUGUUCCUUCUCUCCGUUUACGUGGCAGAAAGUAGAAUACUUUCAUCUGAAACUGGAACAAAUUCUGUUCUAGUGUGUAGUAAGAUUUAUGGUGCAAAUAUUGGAGACACAUGCUUCAGCAUUAUGGGAAAUUUCAGUGUGACCCCUGAGGUUUUUACUGCUUUCAACCCUAACCUCAAUUGUAACAAAAUGUUCGUUGGUGAAUGGAUAUGCCUUGAUGGUUCCUCCAUCUAAAGUAUAAAGCAAGGGAUUAUCAAGCUCAAGAAAUAAAUACUCACAAUUAAAUCAGUACUGUCUGAUUUGCGAAUAAAGAGUAAAGCUAAUGUAUGAUUAAAAAAGCAAUUUAAUCUAGCUUUUUCGUAUUGUUUCGGGUUUUCUUUUCA